GAGUAAAAAGAAUGAAGGACUAGGAAUGUGGAUUAGAAGUAGAAUGUUUACCUAGCAUGCAUGAAGCCCUGGGUUCGAUUCCUCAGCACCACAUAAACAGAAAAAGCCAGAAGUAGUGGCUCAAGUGGUAGAUUGCUAGCCUUGAACA